rnacentral:lncRNA from 1 species
GUUAGAUAAUCAGGCAGCUAAAAGCUGCAAUAAACGAUAGACUUAUUUUUAGUCAUAGGAAAUGGACCUCUAUGCAUUAGCAGUUAGAAGGAAAUCAUACCCUUUUUGAACUACAAAAACUGCCUUGAAUUUUUCCCCUAUGUGUCUCCUUUAAAUAUUUUAGGGAACUUAUAAGUUUAUUUUCUAACCAAGAAAGCACUUAGGUCUCUUUAAGAAGCAGUAAUUUUUCAUAACCUCAGAUUGAAUAACCCACUUUGCUGUGCAGCCUACAUCCCACUGGAGAAAAAAGAAAGAAAGGGGAGAGAACGUGAAAGGAGAAGUGGAGAGAAGCUGGAGAAGAAGAAAUAGCUGGAAGCUUGGGAAUUGGGGGAUUUACCUAAGGCUGACCAGUUUCCUGGUGUGUUACCUGCUUCUGCUACUGAUCCAAACUGCAGAACUUAUUCAUCCCCAUGGCCUCCAGACAGUAUCCAAUGGGGAAUCCGAUCUAAAAGGAACCAGACCUACGUUUUCCAGCCCUUCAUUCUGUAACAACUACUAUCGAGGAAAGGAUAGAAAACGUUCAGGACAUCAUCAUAUAGACUCCUCAUCUACAAAGUUCAGUAACGGUGACGCCUACACAGAAGACUUGGAACUGCAAACAGGCUGGGGUCACCUCAGUGACAUCUCUUGAUGCACAAACAGAAGUUUGAUUUUUGUUUCGGGGGUGCAGAAGGAAGCAGACUGUAGUAAAACACUAAAGUAAUUUUAUGUCUAUACUUUCUCACUUGUUUUUUUUUUGUUUGUGGUUAUUUUGGCGGGAGAGGGAGGGUUUGGGGAUAGAAUUUCACUUCAUGUCUGGAGUGAAGGGGAGAGGGGGAAGCUCAGCCCUUCACCCAAGAAUAACCCAGUAAUGACAUCUUUAUGCGUGGGAAGUGUUUCCCUCCACACUGGGAGGAUCUAAGGCUGCACCCCAGUGGGACUCCCUGCUUGAGUUGGAAGGCCGUCCAGAGGGCGAUGGCAAGUCUUAGCGGAGCGCC